CCUACGGGUGGCUGCAGUGGGGAAUAUUGGACAAUGGGGGCAACCCUGAUCCAGCAAUUCUGUGUGCACGAAGAAGGUUUUCGGAUUGUAAAGUGCUUUCAGCAGGGAAGAAGAGAGUGACGGUACCUGCAGAAGAAGCGACGGCUAAAUACGUGCCAGCAGCCGCGGUAAUACGUAUGUCGCGAGCGUUAUCCGGCAUUAUUGGGCAUAAAGGGCAUCUAGGCGGCCUAACAAGUCAGGGGUGAAAACCUGCGGCUCAACCGCAGGCCUGCCUUUGAAACUGUGAGGCUGGAGUACCGGAGAGGUGGACGGAACUGCACGAGUAGAGGUGAAAUUCGUAGAUAUGUGCAGGAAUGCCGAUGAUGAAGAUAGUCCACUGGACGGAGACUGACGCUGAAGUGCGAAAGCCGGGGGAGCGAACAGGAUUAGAUACCCGGGUAGUC
rnacentral:rRNA from 1 species